ensembl:lncRNA ATP synthase membrane subunit DAPIT, mitochondrial-like
CCGACAUUGCCGCUUGUGUAACUGUCAUUGGAUGGGAUUUUGAAUGUUAAUGCCUGACUGGGUACAUACACUGUCCAUCAAAUGAAACCGGAAGAAAGGUUACAUAUCAAAACAAUGUGUAAGGAAGUAUAGUGGUGUGUCCUUACCGAGCUGUUACGGUGAGUGUAUUGUGGCAUGAUAUUCUAACUGUUGUCUGGUUUGAAACGCCGGUUGUUUAUUUGCAUGUGUUGUAGCAGGCUAGUGAACGUGACAUGAACCUAACCUUCAGCCAAUAAUGUUAUCUUGUUGUGAACCGUUUCCUCAGCCAUGCCAACUUCCCCGGUAAAGACUCGGAUCCCGCUCACGAGCUUCGGUCAUCUGAUCACCGAGGUGAAGAGACAGUUGUUUGGUAUGGAGGCUCCAGCUACUGUUAACCUGACUGGCUGGAGGAGACAUUUCAACAGCUACACACUACAGGGCCGACGCAACUUUGUCCUGGCUACCUAUGGUGUCCUAGCGUUGUCAGCAGCAGCCUAUAUGAUACACAAACGGAGUAAAGAGGACCCCAGAGUAGCCAGCCCCACUGCCUGACUGACACCCUCUCUCAAUGUCCAACGCUUUAUUGACCUGAUAUUCACAUUGUUUUCCAAUACUACCAAAUCAGAGAUUCAUAACAGCAGCGCUCUCCCUCUCUUCCGCUCUCUCUCUCUCCCUCCCUCUCUCCCUCCCUCUCUUCCGCUCCCUCCCUCCCUCUCGCUCUCUCUCUCAAUGUUAAUAAAUAGAAUUUAAUCCAGUCACGAUGUCUCUGUGUCGUCUUGGUUUAAUCUCUAACCCAGAAUAGAACAGAGCAGAAUCCAUUCUGGUAUUCAGACUAACCGGUAACCAUGACAACACCCUACUGGGAGCUCCAGGCUGUAGCGUGUAUGUCUGGCCACAGGGUGGCGCUGGGGAGAG